GGAGGGACUUGAAAGCAGCCUAAUCACUGAUUACACCCUCAGGAUUUUGGGGCUUGAUGUGUGUCGGGACACAAUUGUUGGGGAUGAAAUGAUACGUGGCAUUUCUGGUGGACAGAAGAAGCGUGUCACUACAGGGGAGAUGAUUGUUGGGCCAACAAAAACAUUAUUUAUGGACGAGAUAUCUACUGGACUGGACAGCUCAACUACAUUUCAGAUAGUGAAAUGUUUACAGCAGAUUGUACAUCUUACAGAGGCCACCAUCUUGAUGUCUCUACUCCAGCCUGCUCCCGAGACAUUCGAUCUUUUUGACGAUAUCAUUCUCUUAUCUGAAGGCCAGAUUGUUUACCAAGGCCCACGUGAACAUGUACUCGAAUUCUUCGAAACCUGUGGUUUUAAAUGUCC
rnacentral:misc_RNA from 1 species